UAACCCUGCGUUUUACUACAAGUGUGAAAUGUAGAUGUGGAUUGGCAAUAAAAUAGAUUUUUAUUUGUCAUGAUUUUGCCUAAUUCCUCGUGUAGUAUUAAUUCUUUUGAGAAUUUGUUUCCCAAAUUCAUCAGACCAAAACUGAAAAAGGAUUUUACAAAUUUGUCCUGAAGUAGGAGAAAUGGUCUUUGAGGAUGAGCAUUAUCAUUGAUUAGGAAAUGCAAAGAACAAGAUAGAGAUGAGUUAAUAGUUAUGGAUUAUUCGAUGAAGAUGCUAGGUUUUGAAGAGAAAAUUGUUAUUCUCGUCUAAUUUAAACAAGACAA
rnacentral:misc_RNA from 1 species